rnacentral:rRNA from 1 species
AACGAACGCUGGCGGCAUGCCUAACACAUGCAAGUCGAACGAGACCUUCGGGUCUAGUGGCGCACGGGUGCGUAACGCGUGGGAACCUGCCCUUAGGUUCGGAAUAACUCCCCGAAAGGGGUGCUAAUACCGGAUAAUGUCUUCGGACCAAAGAUUUAUCGCCUUUGGAUGGGCCCGCGUUGGAUUAGCUAGUUGGUAGGGUAAAAGCCUACCAAGGCGACGAUCCAUAGCUGGUCUGAGAGGAUGAUCAGCCACACUGGGACUGAGACACGGCCCAGACUCCUACGGGAGGCAGCAGUGGGGGAUAUUGGACAAUGGGCGAAAGGCUGAUCCAGCAAUGCCGCGUGAGUGAUGAAGGCCUUAGGGUUGUAAAGCUCUUUUACCCGGGAUGAUAAUGACAGUACCGGGAGAAUAAGCCCCGGCUAACUCCGUG